rnacentral:rRNA from 1 species
UACGUAGGCAGCGAGCGUUGUUCGGAGUUACUGGGCGUAAAGAGUGCGUAGGCGGUUUUCUAAGUUUGCUGUGAAAUCUCCCGGCUCAACUGGGAGGGUGCGCCGAAGACUGGAAGGCUAGAGUAUGGGAGAGGUAAGCGGAAUUCCUGGUGUAGCGGUGAAAUGCGUAGAUAUCAGGAGGAACACCGGUGGUGUAGACGGCUUUCUGGACCGUAACUGACGCUGAGACACGAAAGCGUGGGUAGCAAACAGG